AUAGAGACUCAGAGCUGCAUAUCAAUAAGCGGAGGAAAAGAAACUAACUAGGAUUCCCUUAGUAACGGCGAGUGAAGCGGGAAGAGCUCAAAUUUGAAAUCUUCAAGGUUCUACCUUGACGAAUUGUAGUUUAAAGAAGUGUUUUCUGUUGGAGUUUUGGUAAAAGUUCUUUGGAAUAGGACAUCAUAGAGGGUGAGAAUCCCGUAUUUGACCAGUUAUUUCCAGCUUUGUGAUACACUUUCAAAGAGUCGGAUUGUUUGGGAAUGCAGUCCAAAAUGGGUGGUAAAUUUCAUCUAAAGCUAAAUAUUGGCGAGAGACCGAUAGCGAACAAGUACCGUGAGGGAAAGAUGAAAAGAACUUUGAAAAGAGAGUUAAACAGUACGUGAAAUUGUCAAAAGGGAAGCGUUUGACACCAGUGUUGUUUUCUCGAAAAUCAAUUAAAAAAGGCUUGAUUUUGUGUUGUAUUGACUUUAUCAAGCUUUCUUCACUCUUUUCAUUGUCUUUUUUAAUGCACUUUUCGUUUAACAAGUCAACAUCAGUUUCUUUUGUUGUAAAAGGGUCAUUGGAAGGUGGCUUUCUUUUCGGAGAAAGUGUUUAUAGCCUUUGGCCUCUGCAAUCGGAGAGAUUGAGGUCUGCAGCGUAGAUCCUUCGGGGUUAGAUACAUUUGUGCUAAGUUAUAGCCUUUCAUAGACAACUUGUUGACUAUGAUCAGUCAUGUAGCUUACUCGCUUAUGCUAUUUUACCUACGCUUAGGAUGUUGACGAUCAGCUGAGCGCG
rnacentral:rRNA from 1 species